rnacentral:rRNA from 1 species
AGUUUAAACUGAGAGUUUGAUCCUGGCUCAGAGCGAACGCUGGCGGCGUGCCUAACACAUGCAAGUCGAACGGCAGCGGGUAGGAAGCUUGCUUCCUAUGCCGGCGAGUGGCGGACGGGUGAGGAACACAUCGGAAUCUGCCCCGUCG